rnacentral:rRNA from 1 species
UUCGCAAUGCCCGAAAGGGUGACGAAGCGACGCCGCGUGGGUGAGGAAGGCCUUCGGGUUGUAAAGCCCUGUCAGGAGUUAAGAAAUGUAAGUGCGCUAAUAUCGCAUUUAUUUGACGAAGGCUCCAAAGGAAGUCACGGCUAACUCUGUGCCAGCAGCCGCGGUAAUACAGAGGUGGCAAGCGUUGUUCGGAAUUAUUGGGCGUAAAGAGCACGUAGGUGGGUUUGUAAGUCAGAUGUGAAAGCCUUCUGUUCAACGGGAGAAUUGCAUCUGAAACUACAAAUCUUGAGUGUAGGAGGGGAGAAUGGAACUUCUGGUGGAGCGGUGAAAUGCGUAGAUAUCAGAAGGAACGCCGGCGGCGAAAGCGAUUCUCUGGCCUAUUACUGACACUCAGUGUGCGAAAGCUAGGGGAGCAAACGGGAUUAGAUACCCCGGUAGUCCUAGCCGUAAACAAUGGGCACUAAGUAGAGGGGUUUU